rnacentral:rRNA from 1 species
UACGGGGGGGGCAAGCGUUGUCCGGAUUUACUGGGCGUAAAGAGCGCGCAGGCGGUCGUUCAAGUCGAGUGUGAAAGCCCCCGGCUCAACUGGGGAGGGUCAUUCGAUACUGAUCGACUCGAAGGCAGGAGAGGGUAGUGGAAUUCCCGGUGUAGUGGUGAAAUGCGUAGAUAUCGGGAGGAACACCAGUGGCGAAGGCGACUACCUGGCCUGUUCUUGACGCUGAGGCGCGAAAGCUAGGGGAGCAAACGGG